rnacentral:lncRNA from 1 species
GUGAGCUCCAGGUUGGCCUGGAACUUGACAUGUAACUAAGGCGAUAAUGACCUUGAAUGGCUGGACUUUUUGCCUUUCCCUCCCAAGCAUGGCACCAUGCCCAGCUUUAUGUGGUUCUGUACUGAACCCAGUGCUUGAUGCUUGCUGGGCAAACUCUGCCAACUGAGCUAUAUCCCUAUACACAAGGGUGUUCAUUCCUCUGCUCUGUGACACGCUUAUUUCACAGCCUUGGGGCAACUAUGUAGAGGUCAUGGCAGGGCUGGGAUGCAGGAAGCCCUGGACUCAACACAGUACCAGAUAACCUAGAGGUACUGCUGCCCUCCUGCAAUCCCAGCAUGCAGAGGGGGAGAACUAGGAGCUCAAGGCUAUCUGCUGCUGCGUGUCGAGUCUGGGCAGUGCUGGGAUACAUGAGACACUGUCUCUAGAAAAGAGAGAGAAGAGAGAGAGAAAGGAAGGAAGGAAAGAAGGAAGAAAAAGAAGAGGGGAUAAAGGAACAGAAAAAAGGUGAAAUAAAGAAAAUAAGAGCCGGGCGGUGGUGCACAACUGUCAGUGACUCCAACUCCAGGGAUCCAAUGCCUUCUGGGCCCUGAGGCCAUCUGCUCACACAUUCACAUAGACAUAAACAAGACUAAGAUAAUCUUAGAAAUA